ACAGAUAACUUAACUAAACUAUAGCAUAUUUCACUGUCAGACGUAUCGGAUUACUGACACGAGCCACAAGGAUAUCUCGCUGUUUCACCUUGGAUUAUCUACGGAAAUGUUCAACGCAUCAAGUGGAGUCUUAUCCAGAUGACAUUGAUGCGUCUUUUGUUUACGAGUUCGUUCAGUUAAAAAUCAUCUUAGAAGCGUACCAAGACAAACAAUCACCCACGUGAGUGAAAUGCUGAAGUUAGAUGGAGGUCAACUACAGAACACUUUUCCAAACGUUGCCAUCGCUUCACGAAUAUACUUAAUAAUUCCAGUUUAUAACUGUCAAGAAUGCCAUUUGUUUGCGAACAGUGUGGUAGAGAGGUCAAAACACAGUCGGGGAUCUACAAACACAAAGCCACCCACGCACGGACAGGAAAAUAUUUCUGUUGCGGCAAACCUUAUCUUGGAGACUAAAGUAUUUUUGGAAGCACCUUGAAGAGACGUACUGAUAUAUUGAUCAAUGAAAAGUUGUCAUAGAAAGUAAAUGUUCACAAGUUUAAAAGACUGUUUGUUUUUAUUACCAGAUGGUGCCAGUAUUGCAGUG